AUAUUGGUCAAUGGCCUAACGGCUGAACCAGCAACUUGGAUGAAUGUAUGGCAAUAGCUGGUUGCAUUAACAAAAAGUUAGUGUAAGAUCGACUCUGUCGAAUAAAAUUCUAGAUAGAAUUAUGAUAAUGACAUUAUCUAUCUAUGUGUCUUGACCAAAUUACGUGCCAGCAGUCGCGGUAAUACGUAAAAGACUAGUGUUAUUCAUCUUUAAUAGGUUUAAAGGGUACUUAGACGGUAAAUAAAGCCCGAAUAGGGAACUAAUAUACUAGAGUUUGAUGUAAGGAAGCAUGAAAGUACUGUUGGUGUAGAGAUAAAAUUCUAUCAUACCAAAUAUGGCACAGGUUUAGGCGAAAGCAUCUUCUUAUGUAAUAACUGACGUUGAAGGACGAAGGCUUUGUGUCUCGAACAGGAUUAGAUACCCCAGUAGUCUAAGCAGACAAUGAUGAAUGUCAUAGAUUAGAUUUAAUUAAAUUUAUUCUAUAAAUGAAAGUGUAAGCAUUCCACCUCAAGAGUAAUUUGGCAACAUUGGAACUGAAAUCAUUAGACCGUUUCUGAAACCAGUAGUGAAGUAUGUUAUUUAAUUCGAUAAUCCGCCA
rnacentral:rRNA from 1 species